UACAGAGGGGGCAAGCGUUAUUCGGAAUUAUUGGGCGUAAAGGGCGCGUAGGCGGCUUUUCAAGUGACGGGUGAAAUCCCUCGGCUUAACCGAGGAACUGCCUGUCAGACUGGAAGGCUUGAGACCGGGAGAGGUGAGUGGAAUUCCCAGUGUAGCGGUGAAAUGCGUAGAUAUUGGGAGGAACACCAGUGGCGAAGGCGGAUCACUGGACCGGAACUGACGCUGAGGCGCGAAAGCGUGGGGAGCAAACAGG
rnacentral:rRNA from 1 species